GUCGGGAAUUUUGCGCAAUGGACGAAAGUCUGACGCAGCAACGCCGCGUGAGGGAUGACGGCCUUCGGGUUGUAAACCUCUUUUGUCAGGGACGAUAAUGACGGUACCUGGCGAAUAAGCCACGGCUAACUACGUGCCAGCAGCCGCGGUAAUACGUAGGUGGCAAGCGUUGUCCGGAUUUACUGGGCGUAAAGAGCGCGCAGGCGGUCGUUCAAGUCACGUGUGAAAGCCCCCGGCUCAACUGGGGAGGGUCACGUGAUACUGAUCGACUCGAAGGCAGGAGAGGGUAGUGGAAUUCCCGGUGUAGUGGUGAAAUGCGUAGAUAUCGGGAGGAACACCAGUGGCGAAGGCGACUACCUGGCCUGUUCUUGACGCUGAGGCGCGAAAGCUAGGGGAGCAAACGGGAUUAGAAACCCGGGUAGUCC
rnacentral:rRNA from 1 species